ensembl:misc_RNA Metazoa_SRP Metazoan signal recognition particle RNA
GCUGGGCAUGGUGGCACAUGUCUGUGAUCCCAUCUACUCAGGAAGCUGAGAUGGGAGGAUCGCUUGAGCCCGGGAGCUCUAGGCUAUGGUGCACUAUGAUUGCACCAGUUAACAGCCACUGCACUUCAGCCUGGGCAACAUAGCGAGUCCCCGUCUCUA